UGGGGAAUAUUGGACAAUGGGCGAAAGCCUGAUCCAGCCAUGCCGCGUGUGUGAAGAAGGUCUUCGGAUUGUAAAGCACUUUAAGUUGGGAGGAAGGGCAUUAACCUAAUACGUUAGUGUUUUGACGUUACCGACAGAAUAAGCACCGGCUAACUCUGUGCCAGCAGCCGCGGUAAUACAGAGGGUGCAAGCGGUAAUCGGAAUUACUGGGCGUAAAGCGCGCGUAGGGGGUUUGUUAAGUAGGAUGUGAAAUCCCCGGGCUCAACCUGGGAACUGCAUUCAAAACUGACUGACUAGAGUAUGGUAGAGGGUGGUGGAAUUUCCUGUGUAGCGGUGAAAUGCGUAGAUAUAGGAAGGAACACCAGUGGCGAAGGCGACCACCUGGACUAAUACUGACACUGAGGUGCGAAAGCGUGGGGAGCAAACA
rnacentral:rRNA from 1 species